CUUCUCUCACGAUAGAUGGAAUAGGCAAUGAAGCUGUUAUAUUCAGUAAAACGAAUGAUUAGAGGAAUUGUGGGACGAAAUGUUUUCAACUUAGUCUCAUAUUUUCAAUAAGUAUGACAUCUUGCUUGUUUGAAUGAGGCGUGAAUAUUGUGUUGCAAGCAGGAUUUUUGAAAAUUGAUAUUGGCGCUGUGAAAUGAACCA
rnacentral:ncRNA from 1 species